CCACUUCAUGGAAGGAGCAGGCGCGCAAUUACCCAAUCCUGACUCAGGGAGGUAGUGACAAGAAAUAACAAUAAACCGGCUUAUGCCGGUUUAAUUGGAAUGAGUACAAUUUAAACAUCUUAACGAGGAACAAUUGGAGGGCAAGUCUGGUGCCAGCAGCCGCGGUAAUUCCAGCUCCAAUAGCGUAUACUAAAGUUGUUGCAGUUAAAAAGCUCGUAGUUGGAUUUCUGUGGGGACGGAGCGGCCGGCCGCACAUCGCGGUUCGAGCUAGCGCUUUCCCUACAUCCUGCCGCGAACCGUGCUACCAUUAGUUUGGUGGCGCCGGGGAUCGGCUCGAUUACUUUGAGAAAAAUAGAGUGUUCAAAGCAGGCCACAUGCCUUGAAUAAGUUAGCAUGGAAUAAUAACUAAGGACUUCGGUUCUAUUUUGUUGGUGUUCGGGACUGAAGUAAUGAUUGAUAGGGACAGUUGGGGCGGUCUGUAUUCCAAAGCGAGAGGUGAAAUUCUUAGACCUUCGGAAGACAAACAGCUGCGAAAGCGUUCCGCGAGGAUGUUCCCUUUGAUCAAGAACGAAAGUUGGGGGAUCGAAGACGAUCAGAUACCGUCGUAGUCUCAACUAUAAACUAUACCAGCUAGGGAUCGGCCAACGUUAUUUUAUACCGACUUGGUCGGCACCUUAUGAGAAAUCAAAGCAUCUGGGUUCCGGGGGGAGUAUGGUCGCAAGGCUGAAACUUAAAGGAAUUGACGGAAGGGCACCACCAGCCGUGGAGCCUGUGGCUUAAUUUGACUCAACACGGGAAAACUUACCAGGUCCAGACAUAGUAAGGAUUGACAGAUUGAUAGCUCUUUCUUGAUUCUGUGGGUGGUGGUGCAUGGCCGUUCUUAGUUGGUGGAGUGAUUUGUCUGGUUAAUUCCGUUAACGAACGAGACCCCAGCCUGCUAAAUAGCGCGCGUGAGCUUUGCUCGCGGCGAGCUUCUUAGAGGGACUAUGAUGCGCGAUAGCACAUGGAAGUUUGGGGCAAUAACAGGUCUGUGAUGCCCUUAGAUGUUCUGGGCCGCACACGGGCUACACUGGCGCCUGCAACGAGCAUAUCAGCUGGCCCGAGAGGGUCUUGGCUAAUCUUUUGAACCGGCGCCGUGCUUGGGAUUGACCUUUGCAAUUGUUGGUCAUGCAACGAGGAAUGCCUUGUAAACGCGAGUCAUCAGCUCGCAUUGAAUACGUCCCUGCCCUUUGUACACACCGCCCGUCGCUCCUACCGAUGAAUGUUCCGAUGAAAUUUUCGGAGAGCACCUGUGAACUUGGCUCUGCCUUGCGAACGGGAGGCUCAAAAGUCACUUAAAUCUGAAAACAUUAA
rnacentral:rRNA from 1 species